AACCCAAAACAAACCGACCCGUCCAUAAUAAUCCGGCCCGUGUACAACACACGAACAUCACAUUAGGUCAGACAACUCCUCGUACGACCACAACAACUCAUCUCUUUUUUUCAAGUUCUUCAACUCCUAAUCAUACCAUAACUCUCUCGAUUCUCGAUCAACUCCAUCCAUUCAAAGGUCUAUCUUGAUUGAUUUUUCGACGAGAAACCGAUUCUAGUAUCUGUUGUGUCCGAUUACCAUUCGUCGCGAGUAAUCAGAGCAUCGUGUGAAGAACCCUAAUUUCGAAAUUUGGGGUUUUCCAUUUUGGAGUGAAGUUUGUUGAAUCUGAAGCUUAUUCUAGCAUAGUUAAACAUAAAAGAAUGACGCGGCUGAGACGCCCAGGGAAAGAGAAAGAUGUUGAUCCGCCAUCUAAACCGGCUGCGACAAAGAAGCGGAAAACAACCAUCGAUCAGGUCCACGUGCUCAUUCCGUACUCUAGUUGAACAAUUUUAGUUUUUCUUGUUUUGGUGUGUUUUUGUGUUUUGGUGGUGUUUAACUUUUUAUGUUGAGGGAAUGUGUUUGUGUCAAGUUGUUUUAGAAAUGGUCGCUCAUGAUGUUGGUUAGUUGGUUUUCCCGGGUUCUGUUUUUAGAAGCAUGAUACAUUGGGGACAAUGUCGCCCAAGUGUGGGGAUAUGGAACCCGGGAAGGGAAAAGGCUUGGGACAAAGGUUUGAAAGAGGUUGAAAAAUGAUUGAAAACGAUGAAAAGCGAAAAAUUGGAAUUUUUUUUAAAAUUUUAGAGAAUUUCAUCGCCUUAAGUGAAUUAAACGGAUAUGAAAACCGAACGUUUCAAUCACUAAUGGGUUCCUUGCCGGUAGUAAACUAAUGUAGUCCCUUGUCAUGGUCGUUCCUUUAAGUUUCAUGAGAGUAGGUCCGACCUAUGCAGUUAAUCUCGGCGAUAUCUCGGUGAUAUCUCGGCGAUAUCUCGGUUAUCGGCCCGUCACCAAAAUAUCGGUUUCCGAUAUCGGUCAUAUAUCGGUCAACGAUAAUAUCGGUGGUCAACGCCGAAAUAUCGGCCGAUAUCUUGCAAAACCGUAUCGGUUGUCUCGGCGAUAUCUCGGCUUGGCCAUUUUUUCUGGAUUUCAGCAAAAAAAUGUAGAAGCUGGUUUUCAGCAAAAAAACGAAGUUAAAUACUGCCUCACGCGGUACCCCGGGUUUCGGAGCUGCAUUCGUGUCCGCAGGAUGCGCGGGCACGCACAAGUUCAACCAAAUUUCCAGCUCAGAAACCCAUUUUUUGCACCCCCCCCCCUGCGCGCGCGGGUAGGACUUGUGGUAAAACAUGUCAUAAAGCUAUAACGGAGUAGUAAAUGCUUUACCUUAUAAACACCCACUCACUUUGUUCCCACACCAAUGUGGGACAAAGUAUUUAGCACCUUUUGAGACUUUCAUUCUCACACCUAGACUUUCUACCACCUCUUGUAUAUAUAUAAAUAUAUAUAUUUAUGCAUGAUAUUAGACUUCUAGUAUAUAUAUAGGCUCUAGAUAUGAAUAUAAAUAUAAAUAUAUAUAUUUAUGCAUGAUAUUAGAAAUUACCGAUAUCUCACCGCGAUAAACGAUAUCUCAUAUAUCGGUCCUUGACCGAUAACCGAUAUUUUUCCGCAUUAACUGCAUAGGGUCCGACAGGUGUUUUUAGGAAAAACGAAUUGAAAAGAGAUGUCUAUUUAGGGGUAACAUGCUUUAGAUUGCAUAUGCUACAUGUCGGUAACCUUUAACCCUUCUUUGGUGAGAAUUUUGAGCCUGUAGAAUGAUAGAAUGACUUACAUUAUGAUUUCAUUUGUUGAGAGCAGGCCGCAUGUUAUUCUCUGUUAGAACUUGUAUGAUUUGAUGCAUGCUGAGACUGUGGUUUAACAUGUGCACGUAAAUGAUAAAGGCAUUAGGAUAUACCUUACACCCGUUGUGUUUGUUUUAUGUAUACCUAACCAUCACCCUUAGUAGCCCUGUUGAGCCUAUUUACCUUUCGUUUGUCCACCUAAAAUAAAUUGUUUGAUACCGACCGUGAACGACGAGUUUUGAAAAAAAAAAAACAGAAAAAAGAAAAGAAAAAAAAAUAUAGAAAAAGGAAAAAGAAGAAAAAAAAAGAAAGUGUUGUGAAUAUUGUUCAUGUCUUGGGUAGAAACCAACCCAAAAAUGUUAUGUGUUUUGCAAAUAAAGUUGUCAUGGGUUGGUCGUUUGUUUGUUCGCCACGAAAAAAAAAUAUAUAUAAAUAUAAGCCAAAAAUUUCCUACCCUUAGCCUAAGCCCAAAACCGAAAGUCCUUUUGAUAUGUGCCGUGUUAUACGAUGCAGUGGAGGUAUGAUUGUUAUACAAGCAUAUGAUUACAGGAUUGCAUGUUUGGUUUUGAGUGUUAUACAUACUAGCACAUUACACGCUAGUUCAGUUUUAAACCGAGAGGAGAGUUCAUUGUGAGGGGCGUGUAGCAUGUGUAGUAUCAUAAGCAUGUUAGUUUUGAAUAAACAAGCCUUGUGUUUUGGAAAUUGCAUCAAUUGCUUGUCGGACUGUCAAUCUCGAUUGUGUCAGUCUAUGGAACGGGUAUGACUUGGGACUUAAACUGUUGCAUUGGUAUAGGGGUUUAGAGGUGUUGUUACUAUGGUGAGUAGUUCCAUAACGGUUUGCUUGAGGACAAUCAAAGGCAAGUGUGGGGAUGUGAUGGAGAGUGUGAGACAUGAGUGUUUAAGGGCUUAUCUUACAUGUUUUGUUUGAUUUUGUAUGAUUAUAUGUUUAGAAUUGUUUUAUUGUAAGAGUUUAUAUGUUGCAGGUUAAGCACGUGAAAUGGGUGAAGUUAUGGGGUUUAAAGAGAAAGAGGAACGUGCGAGAUGGAUGAGUGAGGUAAUUGGCAAUGUUCGGGACAUGUUUCAAAUCAAAGAUGCGGCUUAGAUGUGCAAGAAAUAUAAAACAUUAAAGUGGAAGGGCCUUAUUGUCAUUACUUGAAAGUUGAUUUUAGUGACAAUAUAAAAGGAGUGAAGAAAAAGCAUGUUGGAGUUGUGAUUUACUACGGUUGACAAGACAAACAAGGAGUAAGGAUGCAAAGUGUAACUUAAAUGUGAACACAUUUAAUACAUCAUCACAUCAUUUUAGUAGAUAGUCACGUGGCUUUUGGGAGGCUUUGUUUGAGAUUUAAUCAUUAUCUCAACACAUGUUAACAUGCAGGAGACAAAAAUUCAUAUUAUUUUUAUUUUGGGAGGGAGUCAAUGAAAACAAUUUUUGGGCUCCCACUAUAAACUACUUUGUGGGCUUCUUGGAUCGAUCAUAGGCAGCCCUAAAACAUCUCCUCUACAUCGAUUAUUGGCAGCACCAUCAUUGGGGGGAUAUCACGAAUUUUUGGGAGGCAGUUUUUCAUGCAUCAUUGGGGGUUCUGAACUCAUCACUCAAGAUCAUCAAGUUCUCGCAAGUACCGGUUCGAUCAUGUUUUCAACUUUCUACAAAGCUUUUGAAGAUUGUACAAACAUCAUGAGCGGCUAGUCGUCCCGUGACCGUCUCCGGGAAUAGGGUUUAUGUGUUUAAACAUUGGGUUGCAUAUGUUAAGACUUUUUGGAUUGAGAAUUGAUUAAUCUUUCGGUUAGUUAUUCUUAUUGUUUUUGUUUCGAUUAAA